rnacentral:lncRNA from 1 species
UCGCCAGAAUGGGACCUACAUGCCUUUCGGACUAGGGCCCAGGGUGUGCAUAGGUCAGAAGUUAGGGUUCCUGGCGCUGAAGUGAGCGCUUAUUGAAGUUGUUCAAGAUUUUAGGCUAACCUUGUGCAAUGAGGCCACUGGGCCGCCAACAUUAUCGGUUCCUAGCGUAAUACUCGUACCGGGAGGAGGAGUGAGGGUCAGGCUGGAGCUCAGGACAGCGAUAGCGUCGAGUGAGCGGUGCAAGACUGGCAAGCGCAUGUUCGUGGCAGCUUAGAUUUGUGAGAGUCAAUAAGUAUUUCAGAAAGUGAGGCAGCCUAU